AGUGAACGCUGGCGGUAGGCCUAACACAUGCAAGUCGAACGGCAGCACAGUAAGAGCUUGCUCUUACGGGUGGCGAGUGGCGGACGGGUGAGGAAUACAUCGGAAUCUACUUUUUCGUGGGGGAUAACGUAGGGAAACUUACGCUAAUACCGCAUACGACCUACGGGUGAAAGCAGGGGAUCUUCGGACCUUGCGCGAUUGAAUGAGCCGAUGUCGGAUUAGCUAGUUGGCGGGGUAAAGGCCCACCAAGGCGACGAUCCGUAGCUGGUCUGAGAGGAUGAUCAGCCACACUGGAACUGAGACACGGUCCAGACUCCUUCGGGAGGCAGCAGUGGGGAAUAUUGGACAAUGGGCGCAAGCCUGAUCCAGCCAUACCGCGUGGGUGAAGAAGGCCUUCGGGUUGUAAAGCCCUUUUGUUGGGAAAGAAAAGCAGCAGGUUAAUACCCCGCUGUUCUGACGGUACCCAAAGAAUAAGCACCGGCUAACUUCGU
rnacentral:rRNA from 1 species